UACGGGGGGGGCAAGCGUUGUUCGGAAUGACUGGGCGUAAAGGGCGCGUAGGCGGUUUGUACAGUCAGGUGUGAAAUUCCCGGGCUCAACCUGGGGGCUGCACUUGAUACGUAGGAACUUGAGUGGGGAAGAGGGUCGUGGGAUUCCCAGUGUAGAGGUGAAAUUCGUAGAUAUUGGGAAGAACACCGGUGGCGAAGGCGGCGACCUGGUCCUUGACUGACGCUGAGGCGCGAAAGCGUGGGGAGCGAACAGG
rnacentral:rRNA from 1 species